GUGGGCGGGUCCGCUGCGGGCUCGGUGCGACUGCGCAGCUCGUCGGCGUUUCCUCGGUGGCUGUCCCGGGCAGAGCGAACAGGAGAUGCCGCUGACCUUCCAGGAUGUGGCCGUGUACUUCUCUCAGGCGGAGGGACAGCAGCUGGGCCCCCAGCAGCGGGCGCUCUACAGAGAUGUGAUGCUGGAGAACUAUGGGAACGGGCCUACCAAAUAUCUCCACUUUUGUAAUUACUGAUAAAAAAUUUUUUAAAGGCAGGUUUAUUGAAGCAUAAUUUAUAAACAAUAAAAUUUACUCUUUUUAGUGUAUA
rnacentral:sRNA from 1 species